rnacentral:rRNA from 1 species
CAGUCGAGCGAACUGAUUAGAAGCUUGCUUCUAUGACGUUAGCGGCGGACGGGUGAGUAACACGUGGGCAACCUGCCUGUAAGACUGGGAUAACUUCGGGAAACCGAAGCUAAUACCGGAUAGGAUCUUCUCCUUCAUGGGAGAUGAUUGAAAGAUGGUUUCGGCUAUCACUUACAGAUGGGCCCGCGGUGCAUUAGCUAGUUGGUGAGGUAACGGCUCACCAAGGCAACGAUGCAUAGCCGACCUGAGAGGGUGAUCGGCCACACUGGGACUGAGACACGGCCCAGACUCCUACGGGAGGCAGCAGUAGGGAAUCUUCCGCAAUGGACGAAAGUCUGACGGAGCAACGCCGCGUGAGUGAUGAAGGCUUUCGGGUCGUAAAACUCUGUUGUUAGGGAAGAACAAGUACAAGAGUAACUGCUUGUACCUUGACGGUACCUAACCAGAAAGCCACGGCUAACUACGUGCCAGCAGCCGCGGUAAUACGUAGGUGGCAAGCGUUAUCCGGAAUUAUUGGGCGUAAAGCGCGCGCAGGCGGUUUCUUAAGUCUGAUGUGAAAGCCCACGGCUCAACCGUGGAGGGUCAUUGGAAACUGGGGAACUUGAGUGCAGAAGAGAAAAGCGGAAUUCCACGUGUAGCGGUGAAAUGCGUAGAGAUGUGGAGGAACACCAGUGGCGAAGGCGGCUUUUUGGUCUGUAACUGACGCUGAGGCGCGAAAGCGUGGGGAGCAAACAGGAUUAGAUACCCUGGUAGUCCACGCCGUAAACGAUGAGUGCUAAGUGUUAGAGGGUUUCCGCCCUUUAGUGCUGCAGCUAACGCAUUAAGCACUCCGCCUGGGGAGUACGGUCGCAAGACUGAAACUCAAAGGAAUUGACGGGGGCCCGCACAAGCGGUGGAACAAGUGGUUUAAUUCGAAGCAC